rnacentral:rRNA from 1 species
CCCUUAGAUGUCCUGGGCCGCACGCGCGUUACACUGAUGCAUUCAACGAGCUUAUAACCUUGGCCGAGAGGCCUGGGCAAUCUUGUUAACGUGCAUCGUGAUAGGGAUAGAUUAUUGAAAUUAUUAAUCUUGAACGAGGAAUUCCUAGUAAACGCAGAUCAUCAAUCUGCAUUGAUUACGUCCCUGCCCUUUGUACACACCGCCCGUCGCUCCUACCGAUUGAAUGAUCCGAUGAAUACCAUGGAUUGAGAGUACGAAUGGGUUCGCUCAUUUCUGCUGCUCGAGAAGUGGAGUAAAUCUUAUCAUUUAGAGGAAGGAGAAGUCGUAACA